UGGGGAAUAUUGGGCAAUGGACGCAAGUCUGACCCAGCAACGCCGCGUGAAGGAAGAAGGCUUUCGGGUUGUAAACUUCUUUUAAGGGGGAAGAGCGGAAGACGGUACCCCUUGAAUAAGCCACGGCUAACUACGUGCC
rnacentral:rRNA from 1 species